AGAGUUUGAUCCUGGCUCAGAACGAACGCUGGCGGCGUGGAUAAGACAUGCAAGUCGAACGGGAUUCUUUCUGUAGCAAUACAGGAGGAGUCUAGUGGCGUAAGGGUGCGUAACACGUGGGCAACCUGCCCUGGAGUGGGGGGAUAGCCCGCCGAAAGGCGGAUUAAUACCGCAUGUGGCUACCGGGAGAUUUCCCGGGAUGCUAAAGCCGGGGUCAAACCUGGCGCUCUUGGAUGGGCCCGCGGCCUAUCAGCUUGUUGGUGAGGUAACGGCUCACCAAGGCUAUGACGGGUAGCUGGUCUGAGAGGACGACCAGCCACACUGGAACUGAGACACGGUCCAGACACCUACGGGUGGCAGCAGUCGAGAAUUUUUCUCAAUGGGGGCAACCCUGAAGGAGCGACGCCGCGUGGAGGAUGAAGGUUUUCGGAUUGUAAACUCCUGUCAUUGGUGAACAAGGCAUUGGGGAGUAACUGCCCCGGUGAUCGAUAGUAGCCGAAGAGGAAGGGACGGCUAACUCUGUGCCAGCAGCCGCGGUAAUACAGAGGUCCCAAGCGUUGUUCGGAUUCAUUGGGCGUAAAGGGUGCGUAGGCGGCGGGGUAAGUCUGAUGUGAAAGGUUGGGGCUCAACCCUGACACUGCAUUGGAUACUGCCUUGCUUGAGUACUGGAGAGGAGACUGGAAUUUACGGUGUAGCAGUGAAAUGCGUAGAGAUCGUAAGGAAGACCAGUGGCGAAGGCGAGUCUCUGGACAGUUACUGACGCUGAGGCACGAAGGCCAGGGGAGCAAACGGGAUUAGAUACCCUAGUAGUCC
rnacentral:rRNA from 1 species